GAUGAACGCUGGCGGCGUGCCUAAUACAUGCAAGUCGAGCGAACGGACGAGAAGCUUGUUUCUCUGAUGUUAGCGGCGGACGGGUGAGUAACACGUGGAUAACCUACCUAUAAGACUGGGAUAACUUCGGGAAACCGGAGCUAAUACCGGAUAAUAUUUUGAACCGCAUGGUUCAAAAGUGAAAGACGGUCUUGCUGUCACUAAUAGAUGGAUCCGCGCUGCAUUAGCUAGUUGGUAAGGUAACGGCUUACCAAGGCAACGAUGCAUAGCCGACCUGGGAGGGUGAUCGGCCCAACUGGAACUGAGACACGGUCCAAACUCCUACGGGAGGCAGCAGUGGGGAAUCUUCCGCAAGGAGCGAAAUCCUGACGGAGAAACGCCGCGUGAGUGAUGAAGUUCUUCGGAUCGUAAAACUCUGUUAUUAGGGAAGAACAUAUGUGUAAGUGACUGUGCACAUCGUGACGGUACCUAAUCAGAAAGCCACGGCUAACUACGUG
rnacentral:rRNA from 1 species